rnacentral:lncRNA from 1 species
GUGGUGAUGUGGUUAAUGAAUCUGCAUCCAUGAAAGCUAAGCGUGAUGCUCUUCAUAGAAAGGUGUUGCUUCUAUGAUUGUUGCUGAGGAGUAUGCAAGGAGGCUUGAAUCUGGCAAUGUUGUUCUGAGUUUUGUUUAAUUCUGGUUUUGGAUUAGAACCAUAAUUAUGUAAAAUUUUGAUGUGCGAUUUGUGGAGUUAUGCUUAAUGUUGUUGCUGAUUUUAGUGUUGUCAAUUGCAGAUUGUGAUAAAUAGUGGUUUGUUCUAAUUCUUCUAUACAACGGUGAAAUUGUGAUAUGUGAUGGUGGAAUUGAUGUAUCUGUGUAUGAUAAUUGAGUUGUGGAGUUGUGGAUUAAUGUUGUUGUUGAUUUCAGUGUUGUCUGUUGUGAAUUGCUUGUGGAUUAAUGGGUAUUCCACAAGUUUUUGAAUUUUGCUUAUUAUUGUUGUUGCUGCAGCUGUUGUUAUUGUUGGCCAUGAAGAAAUUGUUGAUGUUGUUGUUGGAGAUAGAGGUUUAGAUUGAGACUGGAUUGGAUUUGGGGAUUGAAAUUGAGGCUAGGAUUGGAAUCUGGGGAUGAAGAAGAACAUAAGGAAGAAGAUGGAGGAAAAAAUUUGGUGUUUGUGGUUCAUUAUAAGCUACGAUAGAUCCCUCCUUGAUCCAACGGUCUCCAUUUAAAAAAAUAUCAAAUGGUUAAAAACAUGUGAUUUAAUAAAGUCUAUGGUGGACCAUCUAUAAAGUUGGUUCACCUUAGAAAUUUAAGGUUAAAAACUAACGGAGAGGACCAAAAUGAUAAACCGCAGAAGACUUAUGGGACCAAAUUGAAACACUUUAUAGUUAGAGGACCAAAUUGAAAUUCAAAAAUAAGUUAAGGGACCAAAGGAUGUAUUAAAAGAGGACCGUUGAAUUAUGAAGGGCCAUUGUAUGUUACAAUAGGCUAAUAUUUUUC